ACUCAAAGGAAUUGACGGGGGCCCGCACAAGCGGCGGAGCAUGUUGCUUAAUUCGACGCGACGCGAAGAACCUUACCAAGGUUUGACAUGCAGGGAAAAGCCGUAGAGAUACGGUGUCCGUAAGGGCCCUGCACAGGUGGUGCAUGGCUGUCGUCAGCUCGUGUCGUGAGAUGUUGGGUUAAGUCCCGCAACGAGCGCAACCCUCGUCCUAUGUUGCCAGCGGAUUAUGCCGGGGACUCAUAGGAGACUGCCGGGGUCAACUCGGAGGAAGGUGGGGAUGACGUCAAGUCAUCAUGCCCCUUAUGUCUUGGGCUGCAAACAUGCUACAAUGGCCGGUACAGAGGGCUGCGAGACCGCAAGGUGGAGCGAAUCUCAAAAAGCCGGUCUCAGUUCGGAUUGGGGUCUGCAACUCGACCCCAUGAAGUCGGAGUCGCUAGUAAUCGCAGAUCAGCAACGCUGCGGUGAAUACGUUCCCGGGCCUUGUACACACCGCCCGU
rnacentral:rRNA from 1 species